rnacentral:rRNA from 1 species
GAGUUUGAUCCUGGCUCAGGAUGAACGCUAGCGACAGGCCUAACACAUGCAAGUCGAGGGGUAACAGGGACAGCAAUGUCUGCUGACGACCGGCGCACGGGUGCGUAACACGUAUGCAAUCUGCCUGUAAGCGGGGGAUAACCCGGAGAAAUCCGGACUAAUACCGCAUAAUACUGUAAUUUCGCAUGGAGAUACAGUUAAACAUUUAUGGCUUACAGAUGAGCAUGCGCAUGAUUAGCUUGUUGGUGAGGUAACGGCUCACCAAGGCAUCGAUCAUUAGGGGUUCUGAGAGGAAGGUCCCCCACACUGGAACUGAGACACGGUCCAGACUCCUACGGGAGGCAGCAGUGAGGAAUAUUGGUCAAUGGACGGAAGUCUGAACCAGCCACGUCGCGUGAAGGAUGACUGCCCUAUGGGUUGUAAACUUCUUUUAUACAGGAAUAAAGUGCAUCACGCGUGGUGUUUUGUAUGUACUGUAUGAAUAAGCAUCGGCUAACUCCGUGCCAGCAGCCGCGGUAAUACGGAGGAUGCGAGCGUUAUCCGGAUUUAUUGGGUUUAAAGGGUGCGUAGGCGGGAUAAUAAGUCAGUGGUGAAAGUUUGCAGCUCAACUGUAAAAUUGCCAUUGAAACUGUUAUUCUUG